rnacentral:rRNA from 1 species
GAUGAACGCUAGCGACAGGCUUAACACAUGCAAGUCGAGGGGCAGCGAGGGAGUGCUUGCACUUUUGUCGGCGACCGGCGCACGGGUGAGUAACACGUAUGCAACCUGCCCUUGUCAGGGGGAUAAGCGAGGGAAACCUCGUCUAAUACCGCAUAUAUGAUUUAGAGGCAUCUCUUAAUCAGGAAAGAAUUAUCGGACAAGGAUGGGCAUGCGGGACAUUAGGUAGUUGGGGGUGUAACGGACCACCAAGCCGACGAUGUCUAGGGGUUCUGAGAGGAAGGUCCCCCACACUGGUACUGAGACACGGACCAGACUCCUACGGGAGGCAGCAGUGAGGAAUAUUGGUCAAUGGGCGAGAGCCUGAACCAGCCAAGUAGCGUGAAGGAAGACUGCCCUAUGGGUUGUAAACUUCUUUUGUUCGGGAAUAAAGUGCAGUAUGUAUACUGUUUUGUAUGUACCGUUCGAAUAAGCAUCGGCUAAUUCCGUGCCAGCAGCCG